rnacentral:rRNA from 1 species
UAGGGAAUAUUGGUCAAUGGGCGGGAGCCUGAACCAGCCAUGCCGCGUGCGGGAAGAAGGCCCUACGGGUCGUAAACCGCUUUUAUACGGGAACAACCGCAGCUACGUGUAGCUGUCUGAGUGUACCGUAGGAAUAAGGAUCGGCUAACUCCGUGCCAGCAGCCGCGGUAAUACGGAGGAUCCGAGCGUUAUCCGGAAUUAUUGGGUUUAAAGGGUGCGUAGGCGGCCUGUUAAGUCAGGGGUGAAAGUCGGCAGCUCAACUGUCGCAGUGCCUUUGAUACUGUUUGGCUUGAAUUCGGUUGAAGAUGGCGGAAUGAGACAAGUAGCGGUGAAAUGCAUAGAUAUGUCUCAGAACCCGAUCGCUGAGGCAGUAUCUAGCGAUUAUGCAUCGCUGAUGCACGAAGACGUGGGGAGCAAACAGGAUUAGAUACCC